rnacentral:rRNA from 1 species
GCCUACGGGGGGCAGCAGUGGGGAAUAUUGCGCAAUGGGCGAAAGCCUGACGCAGCGACGCCGCGUGAGGGAUGGAGGUCUUCGGAUCGUAAACCUCUGUCAGCAGGGAAGAACGGUCACUGUGCUAAUCAGCAGUGAAUUGACGGUACCUGCAAAGGAAGCACCGGCUAACUCCGUGCCAGCAGCCGCGGUAAUACGGAGGGUGCGAGCGUUAAUCGGAAUUACUGGGCGUAAAGCGCUCGUAGGCGGUAUGUCAAGUCAAGGGUGAAAUCCCCGCGCUCAACGUGGGAACUGCCUUCGAAACG